AGUGAACGCUGGCGGUAGGCCUAACACAUGCAAGUCGAACGGCAGCACAGUAAGAGCUUGCUCUUACGGGUGGCGAGUGGCGGACGGGUGAGGAAUACAUCGGAAUCUACUUUUUCGUGGGGGAUAACGUAGGGAAACUUACGCUAAUACCGCAUACGACCUACGGGUGAAAGCAGGGGAUCUUCGGACCUUGCGCGAUUGAAUGAGCCGAUGUCGGAUUAGCUAGUUGGCGGGGUAAAGGCCCACCAAGGCGACGAUCCGUAGCUGGUGUGAGAGGAUGGUCAGCCACACGGGAAGUGAGACACGGUCCAGACGCCUACGGGAGGCAGCAGUGGGGAAUAUUGGACAAUGGGCGCAAGCCUGAUCCAGCCAUACCGCGUGGGUGAAGAAGGCCUUCGGGUUGUAAAGCCCUUUUGUUGGGAAAGAAAAGCAGCAGGUUAAUACCCCGCUGUUCUGACGGUACCCAAAGAAUAAGCACCGGCUAACUUCGUG
rnacentral:rRNA from 1 species